rnacentral:lncRNA from 1 species
GAUGGCACCAAGGGGGAUGGGCACACUAACACAACUGCUGGGAUUGGGAAAGUUUCAACCUCUUGGGAAUAAAAUCUAACAGUAUUUGUUGGAACGUAACCUGUGCAUACUCCACAGCUGGGCCACUACCCUGCAAGAACCCCUCUGGCUGCCCUAUGUCACAGAGUGAUCCUCCUCAAAAUUUAUUAGAUGAAAAAAGAAAUUUCUGGAAAUUAUCUACAUACAUAUUCUGAUGGGAUUUGUGUAAAGAAUUUAACCGACAAACCCAUAUUUGCGUAGAAGUAGAUCUAGGAAGAUCCACAACACACAUGCGAGGCAGGUGGAAUGGGGACAUUAAAAGGAGGACUUCCACGUUUAAUUCUGAAUGGUUUGACUAUUUUAUUUGUGCAAUUUUUAAAAAUCAAAGCAAUAAAUCACUGUAAAAGAAAUAUUUCCGAGAGUGAUGCAUGCUCCUUGGGAAGCAUCUAUAUGUACAGAUCUUCAGGGAUUUAGCAAAUUCUCUUAAAUAGCUAGAAGACCUUGCUGACUUCGAUGCAAAUAUUCUGGCCAGAGAACUGAGGUCCUUGGAUGAAACCCAAUAAUCAGAGGGGUCACAGUUUCCUUAGCCCAGGAGGAAGGCAGCUGGUGUCUCGGCAGAUGUUCCUAAAGGCCUGGCUUUUUCCACAUCUGUUCUGUGUGGUAAAACAAUACUGUACAGGUCCCCGCUAGAGAUGGACUCUCUGGCCGCCAGGAAAGGACUGAGAGAUAAAUAGGAGGAGCAUAAGAACCUGGGAGCUGGAGGCUGGUCCACCUCCCUCAGCUUCCAGGACCCAGAGGGAGGCAGGCACAGCCAGCCUUGGCCCUGUGGAACCAACACCUUCCAGCCAGGCCGCCAGGAAGCCAAAUUCCAAAUGUCUAACUGUAUUUUGCACUUUUCCACAAGGUUUUAGGUAGCUUACGUUAGAUACUAUGUUCAAAUUCAAGGAUGCACAUCAGAUGCACAGAAAGGCUGCCUGUGGGGGAAUUCGGACUGCAAGUGGAGAAUGGGGAC